rnacentral:misc_RNA from 1 species
GUUUCAAUAUUCAAGAAGACUCAGACGCACAGAUGCAGAGUUGGGUGGACCGCCGGGGGCCCAUAGCCGUAAGCGGCAGGGUCGCCCCCGAGGCAACAUGGUCGGUACACAAGGGUUGGAGGUCGGGCCGCUUGGGCCCUAGCUCUUCAAUGAUCCCUCCGCAGGUUCACCUACGGAGA